rnacentral:rRNA from 1 species
AGCAGCCGCGGUAAUUCCAGCUCCAAUAGCGUAUAUUAAAGUUGUUGCAGUUAAAAAGCUCGUAGUUGAAUUUCGGGACCAAUAUGUUGGUCGUGCCUAGGUACGUACUGUCAUGAUUGGUUUCUCCCUUCUGAAGAACCACGAUGCCAUUAAUUUGGUGUCGUGGGGAAUCAGGACUGUUACUUUGAAAAAUUAGAGUGUUUAAAGCAGGCUCGCGCUUGAAUACAUUAGCAUGGAAUAAUGAAAUAGGACGUUUGAUUCUAUUUUGUUGGUUUCUAGGAUCGACGUAAUGAUUAAUAGGGAUAGUUGGGGGCAUUAGUAUUCAAUUGUCAGAGGUGAAACUCUUGGAUUUAUUGAAGACUAACUACUGCGAAAGCAUUUGCCAAGGAUGUUUUCAUUAAUCAAGAACGAAAGUUAGGGGAUCGAAGACGAUCAG